rnacentral:rRNA from 1 species
UACGUAGGGGGCUAGCGUUUGUCCGGAAUCAUUGGGCGUAAAGAGCGCGUAGGCGGCUGGAAUAGUCCGGUGUGAAAUCCACAGGCUUAACCUGUGAAUGCCGCUGGAAACUGUCUGGCUAGAGUCCGGAAGGGGCGAGUGGAAUUCCUGGUGUAGCGGUGAAAUGCGCAGAUAUCAGGAGGAACACCAAUGGCGAAGGCAGCUCGCUGGGACGGUACUGACGCUGAGGCGCGAAAGCGUGGGGAGCGAACAGG